GUGGGGAAUAUUGGACAAUGGGCGCAAGCCUGAUCCAGCCAUGCCGCGUGAGUGAUGAAGGCCCUAGGGUUGUAAAGCUCUUUCGCCAGGGACGAUAAUGACGGUACCUGGAUAAGAAGCCCCGGCUAACUUCGUGCCAGCAGCCGCGGUAAUACGAAGGGGGCUAGCGUUGUUCGGAAUCACUGGGCGUAAAGCGCACGUAGGCGGAUCUUUAAGUCAGGGGUGAAAUCCCGAGGCUCAACCUCGGAACUGCCUUUGAUACUGGGGAUCUCGAGUCCGGGAGAGGUGAGUGGAACUGCGAGUGUAGAGGUGAAAUUCGUAGAUAUUCGCAAGAACACCAGUGGCGAAGGCGGCUCACUGGCCCGGUACUGACGCUGAGGUGCGAAAGCGUGGGGAGCAAACAGGAUUAGAUACCCCGGUAGUCC
rnacentral:rRNA from 1 species